CCUGCCGAAAGAAAUAGGCAAAAUAUCUAAUCAGACCUUUAACCAGCUUCUCCUCAGGGAUUUCCAGCUACUUAUUACCUCGGAGGACACCUGUCCCUUACAUGAAGGCUUCACCAACUGCUAAUGGAACUGCACCAUCGUGGAUGUGGAGUUACAAAACGGAAACACGACGUGGGAACUUCACCAGCCUGUCACUCAGGGUUCCUAGGCCCAUUUGCUGUGGUGUGCCUCCUCCUGACUGCUGGUCUUUUCUCAGCCAGUCCCUCUCACUGGACCUCCAGCCAGAAGCUAAUGAGGCUCAUGAUGUGGCACACCUGAUUCGUGGAGUUCAUGGAGGCCCUCCGACAGGACAGCUGGCUGACUCCCCACCCCUAUUGGCAAGGACAAGGAUUGGAUGGAGACUAUCCUUGACCUAGUGCUUCAAGGAACUUUCAUCAACUUCAGCCCCAAGGAAAUUUGCAUCUUCAGUGCCCUGGCCUUUACAGCUAUGCUUCUCUUGUCCCCACACCCUGACCAUUCCUCCCUCCCUUCACACAGGAAGUAGCCAGAGGAUCUCCUCACCCUGCUUCCAACACAAAAACAAAAAGGGAGGAAUGUUGGGUGUGUGGGAGACCUUGCCCUUUGGUUUUAUUUCCCCCGUUGGGUUUCUCCCCGCCAAAGUUAAGUUUCUUCUCUUGAGAAGACCACAAAAUCACUUACCCCUCCCCCUCCCCUCCCAAGGGUGCCAAAGUCAAGUUUUCUCAACCAAUCCCUGCAGGACAGUGUCUGCUUGCCUGUUCCUGAGUCACCCUGCCAAUCAGCACCCGCCACAUCACCAAAGCAACCCUUCUUAAGCUUGCAGGCUCAUGCUGCUGCUGCUCCUUUCCUCUCCUUUUCUUCCCCUUUGGGCAGCCCCCCAAUAAAAUCUCUUGGUUGAAUUUCCAUCUGGGGUGAGUCACUUGCCUUUCAGAGGAGGCAUUUGGUCUGGAGAGGGAGACUCACCGAUUCGUAGGCUGAUGGUGCAAAGGAGGCGAACAAGAAGAUGGGCGCAGGUUGGUCUCUGCUCAGGUGGUGAUCUAUGGUGGGAUGGGGGUCCUGCUUAAAGGCAGGGGAGUCCCAUCCGAGCAAUGGCGCCAAUGAAAGCUUCGUCCUGACCUCUGAUACCAAUCCAAUAACAUCAACUCAGUUUUGAGAAAAAGGAAAAUGAAGGUUUAUUGCUUUGGUAGCAACAGAGAAACACCAGGUUCUCCUAUCCCAAAGGCUGUGAUUCUCCUCUGCAGGAACAGGGGCUUUUAU
rnacentral:lncRNA from 1 species